rnacentral:lncRNA from 1 species
CGGUGCUCUGGCUCUCUUCUUGAAGGGAAGGGAUAAUGCUUUCCACAUGAGUUGAGGAGCUGGGCGCCCAUGGUCACCUUUGGGUCUGUUGGCUCUGUUAGUAUCCCUGCUCAGCACAGGAUCCUGGAACCACUGGACACUCCAGUGUGUGAUAACAGUUGUGGUGAGCCAGCCAGGAAUUAACCAGAGGAG